UUGAUGACUCCAGGACUGACAGAACUGUGAAGAGACUUCUCGCGGCUGA
rnacentral:snoRNA from 2 species